GCAAGAUUGGUCAUCUUCCUCCAGAAAUCUCAGGACAAGUCUCCAUAUGCAGCAUAUUGAAGAGGAAUGAAACAUUGGGUUCACCUUCAGCCCGCAUCAUCACUUAGGAGAGGCAAAGUUGUGAACACAAGCCAAGACUUGUUUAAUUUCAAGACAGCCCAGACAAGCAACUCAGCUCAGCCCCAGUGGACUUUGGAAGAUCUGCUUGAAGCUUGCAACGAGAACUAGCUUCACACCUGUGAGGGACACAAGCUGAGGGGCUGAGUGAUUCCCAAGGCUGCAAGUCCUCUAUGUGCUCGCUGCUCGAGGCGCUGCACAGGCUGUCCUUACCAGAAGAAGCAGCUGUGCUCACCUGCUGUGGUUUGAGUGUGGAGGUCAGAAGACAACUUACAGGAGUUGGCUCUCUCCUUCCACGGCAUGGAUCCUGGAGCUCAAACUCCAGUAAUUGUGUUUGGAGGUAAGAGUCUUUACCUGCAAAACCAACUAAUGAGUGGUAUUUGAUGGUAAAUUCUACUGGAUCUUUUCUAAUUAGCUGUUGCCACUAAGCUCAACAAAAUCUCCAGGAAUUUCUAAAAGGAAGAGUAUUCUAAGAAACAGCUUUUAUUAGAAUGUUAUA